rnacentral:rRNA from 1 species
CCUACGGGUGGCAGCAGUGAGGAAUAUUGGUCAAUGGACGAGAGUCUGAACCAGCCAAGUAGCGUGAAGGAUGACUGCCCUAUGGGUUGUAAACUUCUUUUAUAUGGGAAUAAAACGUUCCACGUGUGGGAUUUUGUAUGUACCAUAUGAAUAAGGAUCGGCUAACUCCGUGCCAGCAGCCGCGGUAAUACGGAGGAUCCGAGCGUUAUCCGGAUUUAUUGGGUUUAAAGGGAGCGUAGGUGGAUUGUUAAGUCAGUUGUGAAAGUUUGCGGCUCAACCGUAAAAUUGCAGUUGAAACUGGCAGUCUUGAGGACAGUAGAGGUGGGCGGAAUUCGUGGUGUAGCGGUGAAAUGCUUAGAUAUCACGAAGAACUCCGAUUGCGAAGGUAGUUCACUGGACUGCAACUGACACUGAGGCUCGAAAGUGUGGGUAUCAAACAGGAUUAGAUACCCCGGUAGUC